GCGGGGAUGCCGGAGCGGUCAAACGGGACAGGCUUAGGUUGACCACAGCCGGAAAAGGUGUGAUGAGCUUCGUGCUGUGAUUAUAUGACACCUGUUGGCUUAGUGCCUACUGGGGUUCAAAUCCUCAUCCCCGCA
rnacentral:tRNA from 1 species